AACACUGUUAACCUGCGGUACCUGCGGAAGGAUCAUUACCGAGUUUACAACUCCCAAACCCAAUGUGAACCAUACCAAACUGUUGCCUCGGCGGGGUCACGCCCCGGGUGCGUCGCAGCCCCGGAACCAGGCGCCCGCCGGAGGGACCAACCAAACUCUUUACUGUAGUCCCCUCGCGGACGUUAUUUCUUACAGCUCUGAGCAAAAAUUCAAAAUGAAUCAAAACUUUUAGCAAUGGAU
rnacentral:misc_RNA from 1 species